rnacentral:rRNA from 1 species
CGCAAGCCUGACGGAGCAAGACCGCGUGGGGGAGGAAGGCUCUUGGGUUGUAAACCCCUUUUCUCAGGGAAGAACCAAAUGACGGUACCUGAGGAAUCAGCCUCGGCUAACUCCGUGCCAGCAGCCGCGGUAAUACGGAGGAGGCAAGCGUUAUCCGGAAUGAUUGGGCGUAAAGCGUUCGUAGGUGGCUAUUCAAGUCUGCUGUCAAAGACAGAAGCUCAACUUCUGAAAGGCAGUGGAAACUGAGUAGCUGGAGUGCGGUAGGGGCAGAGGGAAUUCCCGGUGUAGCGGUAAAAUGCGUAGAGAUCGGGAAGAACACCGGUGGCGAAAGCGCUCUGCUGGGCCGCAACUGACACUGAGGGACGAAAGCUAGGGGAGCG